rnacentral:rRNA from 1 species
ACGGGUGAGUAACACGUGAGCAACCUGCCCCUGACUCUGGGAUAAGCACUGGAAACGGCGUCUAAUACUGGAUAUGUGACGUGACCGCAUGGUCUGCGUCUGGAAAGAAUUUCGGUUGGGGAUGGGCUCGCGGCCUAUCAGCUUGUUGGUGAGGUAAUGGCUCACCAAGGCGUCGACGGGUAGCCGGCCUGAGAGGGUGACCGGCCACACUGGGACUGAGACACGGCCCAGACUCCUACGGGAGGCAGCAGUGGGGAAUAUUGCACAAUGGGCGCAAGCCUGAUGCAGCAACGCCGCGUGAGGGAUGACGGCCUUCGGGUUGUAAACCUCUUUUAGCAGGGAAGAAGCGAAAGUGACGGUACCUGCAGAAAAAGCGCCGGCUAACUACGUGCCAGCAGCCGCGGUAAUACGUAGGGCGCAAGCGUUAUCCGGAAUUAUUGGGCGUAAAGAGCUCGUAGGCGGGUUUGUCUCGUCUGCUGUGAAAUCCGGAGGCUCAACCUCCGGCCUGCAGUGGGUACGGGCAGACUAGAGUGCGGUAGGGGAGAUUGGAAUUCCUGGUGUAGCGGUGGAAUGCGCAGA